UACGAAGGGGGCUAGCGUUGUUCGGAAUUACUGGGCGUAAAGCGCGCGCAGGCGGUUUUUCAAGUCAGUGGUGAAAGCCCCGGAGCUCAACUCCGGAACUGCCAUUGAAACUGUAAAACUUGAGGAUGAGAGAGGUGAGUGGAAUUCCCAGUGUAGAGGUGAAAUUCGUAGAUAUUGGGAAGAACACCGGUGGCGAAGGCGGCUCACUGGCUCGUAACUGACGCUCAGGCGCGACAGCGUGGGGAUCAAACAGG
rnacentral:rRNA from 1 species